rnacentral:tRNA from 1 species
GGGCCUGUAGCUCCACGGAUUAGAGCACGUGGCUACGAACCACGGUGUCGGGGGUUCGAAUCCCUCCUCGCCCA